CAGCCGCCGCGGUAAAACAGAGGGUGCGAGCGUUAAUCGGAUUUACUGGGCGUAAAGCGUGCGUAGGCGGCUUCUUAAGUUGGAUGUGAAAUCCCUGAGCUUAACUUAGGAAUUGCAUUCGAUACUGGGAAGCUAGAGUAUGGGAGAGGAUGGUAGAAUUCCAGGUGUAGCGGUGAAAUGCGUAGAGAUCUGGAGGAAUACCGAUGGCGAAGGCAGCCAUCUGGCCUAAUACUGACGCUGAGGUACGAAAGCAUGGGGAGCAAACAGGAUUAGAUACCCCGGUAGUCCCUGUCUCUUAUAC
rnacentral:rRNA from 1 species